rnacentral:rRNA from 1 species
ACUGAGACACGGCCCAGACUCCUACGGGUGGCAGCAGUGGGGAAUAUUGCACAAUGGGCGAAAGCCUGAUGCAGCGACGCCGCGUGAGGGAUGACGGCCUUCGGGUUGUAAACCUCUUUCAGCAGGGAAGAAGCGAAAGUGACGGUACCUGCAGAAGAAGCGCCGGCUAACUACGUGCCAGCAGCCGCGGUAAUACGUAGGGCGCAAGCGUUGUCCGGAAUUAUUGGGCGUAAAGAGCUCGUAGGCGGUCUGUCACGUCGGAUGUGAAAGCCCGGGGCUUAACCCCGGGUCUGCAUUCGAUACGGGCAGACUAGAGUGUGGUAGGGGAGAUCGGAAUUCCUGGUGUAGCGGUGAAAUGCGCAGAUAUCAGGAGGAACACCGGUGGCGAAGGCGGAUCUCUGGGCCAUUACUGACGCUGAGGAGCGAAAGCGUGGGGAGCGAACAGGAUUAGAUACCCUGGUAGUCCACGCCGUAAACGGUGGGAACUAGGUGUUGGCGACAUUCCACGUCGUCGGUGCCGCAGCUAACGCAUUAAGUUCCCCGCCUGGGGAGUACGGCCGCAAGGCUAAAACUCAAAGGAAUUGACGGGGGCCCGCACAAGCAGCGGAGCAUGUGGCUUAAUUCGACGCAACGCGAAGAACCUUACCAAGGCUUGACAUCGCCCGGAAAGCAUCAGAGAUGGUGCCCCCCUUGUGGUCGGGUGACAGGUGGUGCAUGGCUGUCGUCAGCUCGUGUCGUGAGAUGUUGGGUUAAGUCCCGCAACGAGCGCAACCCUUGUUCUGUGUUGCCAGCAUGCCCUUCGGGGUGAUGGGGACUCACAGGAGACUGCCGGGGUCAACUCGGAGGAAGGUGGGGACGACGUCAAGUCAUCAUGCCCCUUAUGUCUUGGGCUGCACACGUGCUACAAUGGCAGGUACAAUGAGCUGCGAUGUCGCAAGGCGGAGCGAAUCUCAAAAAGCCUGUCUCAGUUCGGAUUGGGGUCUGCAACUCGACCCCAUGAAGUCGGAGUUGCUAGUAAUCGCAGAUCAGCAUUGCUGCGGUGAAUACGUUCCCGGGCCUUGUACACACCGCCCGUCACGUCACGAA